UCUUAGUCUUUGUUGUCUCACCAGCGAUCAACACCCCAACAUGAACAUCAGCUUCAGCAUAGUCAUCGCCUUCUUGGCCAUGUUCGUGACCUACUCCAACGCGUGCUGCUGUCACAAGGGCAGUCACAAGAGCCACCACAGCAGGCACGGCAUCCCCGUCCCCAUCCCUUACCCCAUGGGCGGCAGCAGCGGCGGCAGCCACUCCUCCAACAUCCCUCUCGUCAUCACAACGGCUGGAAAAUAGACACGCGGAAACUAUGCUGCUGUCACGUGAUGUCCUGGUCAGUCAUUGUAACGAACAAAACUUGUCACGCAACGCGGAAUGUUCUUACAAACACAUACCUCCACUUUCUAUUGCUUAUGUCAUUAAAUCUUCCUGAAAAUAAAUACAUUCGAGGAUUUUGUCAAA